rnacentral:rRNA from 1 species
CCUACGGGUGGCAGCAGUGGGGAAUAUUGGGCAAUGGGCGCAAGCCUGACCCAGCAACGCCGCGUGAAGGAAGAAGGCUCUCGGGUUGUAAACUUCUUUUAUCAGGGACGAAGCAAGUGACGGUACCUGAUGAAUAAGCCACGGCUAACUACGUGCCAGCAGCCGCGGUAAUACGUAGGUGGCAAGCGUUAUCCGGAUUUACUGGGUUUAAAGGGCGUGUAGGCGGGAAAGAAAGUCAGAUGUGAAAACCAUGGGCUCAACCUGUGGCCUGCAGUUGAAACUGGUUUUCUUGGGUACUGGAGAGGCAGACGGAAUUCCUAGUGUAGCGGUGAAAUGCGUAGAGAUUAGGCGGAACCCCAGUGGCGAAGGCGGUCUGCUGGACAGCAACUGACGCUGAGGCGCGAAAGCGUGGGGAGCAAACAGGAUUAGAUACCCUUGUAGUC